AGGAUUCUUCAGGGAUAUGUGAAAUUCAUUACCGGCGGUAACAGUCCGCGAGCCAUGAGAAUGGUUGAUUUGGUGUAAUUCCAAAACCGACAGUAAAGUCUGGAAGAGAGAAGAAAAUC
rfam:Lachnospiraceae bacterium 2_1_46FAA genomic scaffold aclXT-supercont-complete, whole genome shotgun sequence.